GACGAACGCUGGCGGCGUGCUUAACACAUGCAAGUCGAACGGAAAGGCCCUGCUUUUGUGGGGUGCUCGAGUGGCGAACGGGUGAGUAACACGUGAGUAACCUGCCCUUGACUUUGGGAUAACUUCAGGAAACUGGGGCUAAUACCGGAUAGGAUCUCCUGCUGCAUGGUGGGGGGUGGAAAGUUUCGGCGGUUGGGGAUGGACUCGCGGCUUAUCAGCUUGGUGGUGGGGUAGUGGCUUACCAAGGCUUUGACGGGUAGCCGGCCUGAGAGGGUGACCGGCCACAUUGGGACUGAGAUACGGCCCAGACUCCUACGGGAGGCAGCAGUGGGGAAUAUUGCACAAUGGGCGGAAGCCUGAUGCAGCAACGCCGCGUGCGGGAUGACGGCCUUCGGGUUGUAAACCGCUUUCGCCUGUGACGAAGCGUGAGUGACGGUAAUGGGUAAAGAAGCACCGGCUAACUACGUG
rnacentral:rRNA from 1 species